rnacentral:rRNA from 1 species
CCUACGGGAGGCAGCAGUAGGGAAUGUUCGGCAAUGGGGGGAACCCUGACCGAGCAACGCCGCGUGAACGAAGAAGUUAUUCGUAAUGUAAAGUUCUUUUAACAGGGAAGAAAGAGAAAUUGGACGGUACCUGAAGAAUAAGCUCCGGCUAACGACGUGCCAGCAGCCGCGGUAAUACGGAGGGAGCGAGCGUUGUCCGGAAUUAUGGGGCGUAAAGGGUGCGUAGAGGGCAUAGUAAGUCUUUUGUAAAAAUGCUGGGCUCAACCCAGUAGGGCAAACGAUACUGCAAAGCUAGAGUAUGACUGCGGCAAGUGGCCCUACAUGUGUAGCGGUCAAAUUCGUACAUAUAUGUAAGACCACCAGUGGCGAAGGCGGCUUGCUGGGUCGCUCCUGCCAUUGAGGCAC